rfam:Picea glauca, whole genome shotgun sequence.
AAUUCUAACCUUGUGUCAGGACCUACGGGCCAAGGGACAGUCUCAGGUAGAUAGUUUCUAUGGGGCGUAGGCCUCCCAAAAGGUAACAGAGGCGUGCAAAGGUUUCCUCAGGCCAGACGGAAAUCGGCCCUCGAGUGCAAAGGUAGAAGGGAGAUUGACUGCAAGACCCACUCGUCGAGCAGGGAUGAAAGUCGACCUUAGUGAUCCAACGGUGCUGAGUGGAAGGGUCGUCGCUCAAUGGAUAAAAGUUACUCUAGGGAUAACAGGAUGAUCUUCCCCAAGAGUUCACAUCAACGGGAAGGUUUGGCACCUCGAUGUCGGCUCUUCGCCACCUAGGGCGGUAGUAUGUUCCAAGGGUUGGGCUGUUCGCCCAUUAAAGCUGUACGUGAGAUGGGUUCAGAACAUUGUGAGACAGUUCGGUCCAUAUCCAGUGCGGGCGUUAGAGCAUUGAGAGGACCUUUCCCUAGUACGAGAGGACCAGGAAGGACACACCUUUGGUGUACCAGUUAUCAUGCCCACGGUAGACGCUGGGUAGCCAAGUGCAGAGAGGAUAACUACUGAAAGCAUAUAAGUAGGAAGCCCACCCCAAGAUGAGUGCUCUCCUAUUCUUACUUCUCUGAGAGCCCCAGUCGCGAACACGGCUGGGACAAUGACGGGUUCUCUGUCCUUGCAGAGGAUGGAGUGACAAAAGUAUUGAGAAUCCAAGAUAAGGUCACGGAGAUACAAGCCAUUUAUCAUUAUGAUAGGUUUCAAGUGGAAGUGCAGUGAUGUAUGCAGCUGAGGCAUCCUAACAGACUGAGAGAUUUGAACCU